rnacentral:rRNA from 1 species
AACGAACGCGGCGGCGUGGAUUAGGCAUGCAAGUCGUACGCGAAAGGUUCCUUCGGGGGCCGAGUAGAGUGGCGAACUGGUGAGUACAAGGUGAAUAACGUGCCCCUGGGUGGGGGAUAACUUCGCGAAAGCGGAGCUAAUACCGCAUGGUCUUUCUUAUUUAAGAGUGAGAAAGUAAAGCAGUAAUGCGCCCGGGGAUCGGUUCACCUCCCAUUAGCUUGUUGGUGGGGUAACGGCCCACCAAGGCCGCGAUGGGUAGCUGGUCUGAGAGGAUGGUCAGCCACACUGGGACUGAGAUACGGCCCAGACUCCUACGGGGGGCAGCAGUCUAGAGGCUUUGACAAUGCCCGAAAGGGUGAUCAAGCGACGCCGCGUGCGGGAUGAAGGGCUUCGGCUUGUAAACCGCUUUUGUUUGGGACGAAGGCCUGUGUCGUGAACAUGGGAUUGACGGUACCAGACGAAUAAGCCCCGGCUAACUCCGUGCCAGCAGCCGCGGUAAGACGGGGGGGGCAAGCGUUGUUCGGAAUUAUUGGGCGUAAAGGGCUCGUAGGCGGAUCCGCCAGUCUGACGUGAAAUCUCCACCGCUCACCGGGGAGAGGUCGUUGGAUACUACGGAUCUGGAGUUCGGCAGAGGACCAUGGAAUUUCGGGUGUAGCGGUGGAAUGCGUAGAUAUCCGAAAGAACACCGGUGGCGAAGGCGGUGGUCUGGGCCUGAACUGACG